rnacentral:tRNA from 1 species
GGUGGCUCAGGGGUAGAGUGCUUGCCUUGUAUGCAUGAGGCCCGGGGUUCGAUUCCUCAGCACCA